rnacentral:rRNA from 1 species
GACGAACGCUGGCGGCGUGCUUAACACAUGCAAGUCGAACGAUGAAGCCCUUUCGGGGGUGGAUUAGUGGCGAACGGGUGAGUAACACGUGGGUAACCUGCCCUGUACCCUGGGAUAAGCCUUGGAAACGAGGUCUAAUACCGGAUAUGACCUGCUCUCGCAUGGGGGGUGGGUGGAAAGUUUUGGCGGUGCAGGAUGGACCCGCGGCCUAUCAGCUUGUUGGUGGGGUGAUGGCCUACCAAGGCGACGACGGGUAGCCGGCCUGAGAGGGCGACCGGCCACACUGGGGACUGAGACACGGCCCAGACUCCUACGGGGAGGCAGCAGGUGGGGAAUAUUGCACAAUGGGCGAAAGCCUGAUGCAGCGACGCCGCGUGAGGGAUGACGGCCUU